rnacentral:rRNA from 1 species
UGACCUACGGGGCGCAGCAGUAGGGAAUCUUCCACAAUGGGCGAAAGCCUGAUGGAGCAACGCCGCGUGGGUGAAGAAGGUCUUCGGAUCGUAAAGCUCUGUUGGUAGUGAAGAAAGAUAGAGGUAGUAACUGGCCUUUAUUUGACGGUAAUUACUUAGAAAGUCACGGCUAACUACGUGCCAGCAGCCGCGGUAAUACGUAGGUGGCAAGCGUUGUCCGGAUUUAUUGGGCGUAAAGCGAGUGCAGGCGGUUCAAUAAGUCUGAUGUUAAAGCCUU